rnacentral:rRNA from 1 species
GAUGACAGAUUGAGAGCUCUUUCUUGAUUCUGUGGGUGGUGGUGCAUGGCCGUUCUUAGUUGGUGGAGCGAUUUGUCUGGUUAAUUCCGAUAACGAACGAGACUCUUACUUGCUAAAUAGAUGCUCGACCCUUUGCGGUCGGAGACAACUUCUUAGAGGGACUAGUGGCGUUUAGCCACACGAGAUUGAGCAAUAACAGGUCUGUGAUGCCCUUAGAUGUUCGGGGCCGCACGCGCGCUACACUGACCGGAUCAACAUGUGCUUCCCUUGGCCGAAAGGCCCGGGUAAUCCGUUGAACCCCGGUCGUGCUAGGGAUAGGGAAUUGCAAUUGUUUCCCUUGAACGAGGAAUUCCCAGUAAGCGCGAGUCAUCAACUCGCGUUGAUUACGUCCCCCC